rnacentral:rRNA from 1 species
AUUGAACGCUGGCGGCGUGCUUAACACAUGCAAGUCGAGCGGUAACAGGCGUAGCAAUACGUGCUGACGAGCGGCGAACGGGUGCGUAAUACAUCGGAAUCUGCCUCGUAGUGGGGAAUAACCCGGCGAAAGCCGGGCUAAUGCCGCAUACGAUCCACGGAUGAAAGCGGGGGACCUUCGGGCCGUCGCGCUAUGAGAUGAGCCGAUGUCGGAUUAGCUAGNGGUGAGGUAACGGCUCACCAAGGCGACGAUCCGUAGCUGGUCUGAGAGGACGGCCAGCCACACUGGGACUGAGACACGGCCCAGACUCCUACGGGAGGCAGCAGUGGGGAAUAUUAGGACAAGUGGGGAAACCCUGAUCCAGCGACCGCCGCGUGUGUGAAGAA